rnacentral:rRNA from 1 species
GACGAACGCUGGCGGCGUGCUUAACACAUGCAAGUCGAACGGAGUGGCGAACGGGUGAGUAACACGUGGGUGAUCUGCCUUGCACUUCGGGAUAAGCUUGGGAAACUGGGUCUAACACCGGAUAGUGCAAGAUGAGCUCGCGGCCUAUCAGCUUGUUGGUGGGGUAAUGGCCUGCCAAGGCGUCGACGGGUAGCCGGCCUGGGAGGGGGUACGGCCACAUUGGCACUGAGCUACGGCCCAGACUCCUACGGGGGGCAGCAGUGGGGAAUAUUGCACAGUGGUCGGAAGCCUGAUUCAGCGACCCCGCGUGGGGGAUGAUGACCUUCGGGUUGUAAACUCCGUUAGACAGGGACGCGGUACCUGUAUAAGAAGCACCGGCUAACUACGUGCCAGCAGCCGCGGUAAUUC